GGAGCGGCCCGAGCGCGGCUCCGCUCGGCUCCUGUGCGGCUGCCGCGGAGCCGGGGCCGGGCACGAUGGCGGCCGGGCUGGGGCCGGGGCUGCUGGCCUUGGCCUUGGCCUGGUGGCCGGCAGGGCUCUGGGCACAGCCGAGGCUGCAGGAGGCCGGCGGAGGGCUGCGAGCGCCCGGGGACUCCGUGACCCUCUCCUGCCGCGGGUCCGGAUUCACCUUCCAGGAUUAUUUUGUUCACUGGUACCGCCAGGCACCCGGGGGCAGCCAGGAGUGGGUGUCCUUUAUCAGCUCCCCCGAGGGCACUAUAGAGGACUACGGGUCAGCAGUGGAGGGUCGGGCCACGAUUUCCCGGGACAAUUCCCGGUCCGAGGCUUAUCUCUCAUUGCGGUCCCUGCAAGCUCAGGACUCUGCCCGGUACUUCUGUGCCAUCCCACGGGAGCAGGAAAUGCAGAUGAGCUUUAACACAAACCCUCCGGGCUCUGGCAGAGGUUGUGUUCGAUGUGGGGAAGGUGAGAGUUCCCUGGGGCCGGGAGCUGAUGGGUCUCAAGGCUGUUUGCAACGUGUCAGGUGUCAUCACUGUGCACCACAGACAUUCCUGGCCUUUGCUGCACACUGCGGGAAUUCUGAUUUAUUGCCAGUUUGAGUAAGAGUGGAAUUGUGAGCAGUUACAAAAUGCCUUGCUUGCACUUUAUCCCUGUUUGCUCCCAGGCUCAUUUGCAAAGCAGCGGUCCUGAAUUCUCUGUC